AUUGAACGCUGGCGGCAGGCCUAACACAUGCAAGUCGAGCGGAUGAAGGGAGCUUUCUCCUGGAUUCAGCGGCGGACGGGUGAGUAAUUCCUAGGAAUCUACCUUGUAGUUAGGAAUAACGUCCGUAAACGGGCGCUAAUACCGCAUACGUCCUGAGGUAGAAAGUGGGGGAUCUUCGGACCUCGCGCUAUCAGAUGAGCCUAGGUCGGAUUAGCUAGUUGGUGGGGUAAAGGCCUACCAAGGCGACGAUCCGUAACUGGUCUGAGAGGAUGAUCAGUCACACUGGAACUGAGACACGGUCCAGACUCCUACGGGAGGCAGCAGUGGGGAAUCUUGGACAAUGGGCGAAAGCCUGAUGCAGCCACGCCGCGUGUGUGAAGAAGGUCUUCGGAUCGUAAAGCACUUUUAGUUGGGAGGAAGGACAGUAAGUGAAUCUCUUGCUGUUUUGACGUUACCAAAAGAAUAAGCCCCGGCUAACUUCGUG
rnacentral:rRNA from 1 species